rnacentral:lncRNA from 1 species
GGUUUCUUACUCCUAUGCCGCAGUCACCCAGCUGUCCCUUUGUUAACCUUUUGUGAUUGUUUUUGUGGCUUAUCUUCUCCUAGGUAACAUGGUGUACUCUUUGAUGCACAUUUGUAUUUAUUUUGGGUGAUUGGUCUGAUCAAAUUACUAAUAGUGUGACUCACAGUCAGGAUAUUUCUAAAAUCAAGUUCAUAGCACACUUUAGAAUUCAUGCUUGCUUUGUUUUAAAGGAUGACAUGAGUUCAGGGGACGAAGAAAAUGGCUUUUGUGGGUGGUAGUUGGUUGACAUAGCCAAUUGACUACAUAGUAUGGUUUUAGAGUGCCCUGGUUUUGAUAUUCUUGUAGAUUUAGGAUUUCUGCUGAUAAUCUUCUUUUGCUUAGGACGUUUUAUUUCCAUGGAGACGUAAUAACUGAUUAACUCUCUCUGUGUGUGUAUAUAUAUAGACACACACACACAUACACUGAAAGUUUUUGUACAUACACACACAGAGAUACACUGCACCUCCAGUUUCCUGUUUUACCUUAUUUGCUAAUAUACAAUGAAAUUAAUGUUUGAAGAAAAUUUAAUGAACUAUCAUUGUCAAGUAUCAACCUAGUAUUUUGACAUCUUUCACUUCAUGGACUGCUUUCUCUCUUGCAGCAGAUUGUCUUUGGUAGGGAUAUACGUUUGUUAAUUGCAUGCUCGGAAUUUGUUUAAGAGAGUGCGAUUAGUGCUGAUCUUGUGAAAAUAUCUUGCAUCAAGAAACAAUGCUUGUAUACUCAAAAGCAAAAACAUGUGAAAUUUCUUCGAGCUAAAGUUUGAUGUCCAUUCUCUAGUACGAAGUGCUUCAGCGAGUAAAAUGUUGAUCAUGCCAUUUAGUUUUCUUUCCUAAUUUUUAACAGAAGAGUUAGCUGAAAUCCUUAUAGAGUUGAGCUUCAUCUUUCUCCGUAUCUCAGAUAUUUGUUUGAUACUACAAUAUCUGUUGCAAUAAUAAAGCUGUUUGGUUUCCUUACAACUGAUUCUAGUGGAUGGAUCUUUUGACCAAUGCAAUAACUGAAUGAUCCCCACCUGCAAAUAGGGUAGUGAAAAUGGUGACAUGAUUUAGUCUAUAUGCCAACACUGGUCAGUGUAUAUUGUGAUUUCGUUUGCAGUAGCGAGCCAAAGUUUGGUUCUGGUACGCCUGGUUUGAAGUUAAACUUCAAUUGGGAUUGUUCGUGGUCACUGGAUGUUACUUGACCAUUGUUGUAACAGAUCUAGUUUUUCCGGUGAACCUCUCAACUCUAAUGUUCUAAUAGAGGGACCAUCUUGCUGUAUAAUAUCUGAAGAUAUGGAAUUACUUAUGGGUUUGUGUUUGACAUCUCCUGCUGCUUUAUAGUAAUGUCAUAAAUAGAUGUUGUACUUGUAAAUGAAUAGACAAAUAUAGUGGUUGUGAUUGAGUAUAGAUCUGUUGAAAACACGAAGGGGUUUAUGUUGCUACUUCCUAGUGAAUAAUGUAACCUUAGAGGUAUGCAUAUUAAGGUUCCUUAAUGUGUAGUGGUAUAAUUAGCAUGCAAUGUGUCCAAGACGUGAUUUUGUAAUAGAGUAUGAUGGACACAUUUUUAUCUCGUAUGAUGUGUGCAGUAUCUGUAUGUUUUUUUCCCUUACUUUCUUUGAUAAGAGAUACUUGAGCCGAGAGUCUUUCGGAAACAACUCUUCUACCUCCAUGAGGUAGGGGUAAGGUCUGCGUACACUCUACCUCCAUGAGGUAGGGUUAAGCCGUUAAGAUCUGUGUACACUCUACCUCCCCGGACCCUACCUAUGGGAUUUCACUGAGUGUUUUUUGUUGUUUAUGAUGUGCGCAAUAUAACAAUCCUAUUCUCUUCUUUAACAUCUUCUCUCCCAACUCAACAUCUUACUGCGUGGUUCUUUCCUAAGGCAUUUAGGGUAUAAGGAAUAGCAAAACUGUGUUGUGGUUAGCCUUUCAAAUUGGUCAGAUAGCAGUAAUUCGUACUUGAUCUUGUGUGAAAACGUCUCUUUGAUGGAGUGUUACUUGUCUCAAGAAGAUAUGGACAUGGAUAUUGCUCAGGUAGUUUUUGCUUGAGAAAAAUGUGUGUGCUAGUAGAAGGAUAAAAAAUAAUAGAGUACAGCUUACAAGUGCAUCCCAAGCUAAAAGUUAACUCUUCCUAUUCAAAUUAUCCGUUUAACUGAACUUCCAGUAUGUCUCAAUUUCUCUUUUGCCUAUACCUCCAUCUUCCCAUACUGCCUUUAACAAUUUCAAGGAUUUCCUUGACUAGAGUUAUUACUGAUAUCUUCUGAUUGGAAUUUUUUGCAAUUUCUUUUGAUUUGUGAUCUUCUGCAAUUUUUCUCUAUCCAAAUACUGCAACAGCUGGCAUCGAGUAGACUAGUAGAGAAGCCAACUGUUUUCUCUAAGAUCAAACAUUAUCAAACGUAAAAUUGAAGAUGGUAAAGAGUUGAAUAAUGAACUUGUAUGCUGGUCUGAGGAUACUUUAUCCUAAGAAAAUGCUACUAUGGUGCCACUAGACUAGUAGGUCUUAUCUGUGCUUAUUUCUGGGUUGGGAUAACACGUAAAAAUAUCUUUUGGGCUGGGUAUCAUGGUAAAUGUUGUUUUGUAACUUAUGGGUUACUUUGCCUGCUGCCUGCUUAUUUUGAUAAAGGUAACAUUUGUAUAUCAAUCAUCAGUGGUGCCUGCUUAUGAUAAACCACAGUGGUGCAUUUGUUAGUUUUGUUAUUAAAGGUGGACAACUAAAAUAAAUUGGUAGUUCUCUAUGUUUGAAUAGUAGUUCAUCUGUGGUAGAUUAUUGAGGUGAAAUUGUAACCUUGUUUCAUAAUGUCAGUUUGUUUUCUUUUCUAUUUGCUCCCCCCUUGAAUAUGUGUUCAUAAUUAAUCAUUUCAUCUUUGACUUGUAUUAUUUAUUUGUCUUGCUUUAUACUUGAUCUGAUAACUCUUACUAUUGUUUUCAGUUUGGCAGUUAUAGCACGGAGGCGACCUAUCCAUUAUAACCGCAUUUUAUCAGCAUUGCUUGAUUUUGAUCCAAACUUUGAGAUGACAAAGGGUGGACAUACUGCCAGCAUUCAGUAUUCUCUGAGAACUGCCUUUCUAGGAUUCCUGAGGUGUACACAUCCUUCCAUUUUGGAGGUAUACUUGACAUGUCAUAUUAGAGCUUCAUAGUUCUUUAUCUAUGGAUUUCUCCGUCUUCCAAUUUCUGUCUCUUUUCAGGGUGUUCACUGCUGCAACUUCCUUUCUAACUAUUUUUUUUGGUUAAUCAAACAGAGAUGUUUCUUGCUCAUUGAUUGAGAGAAUGAGCUGUAGUUCUGUUAUAGGGUAUUGUACAAUCCCCUCACAUCAUGUACUGGCUUUUGAGGUUUAGUAGGUUCAAGGUCCAUUUUCUUAUCCUGGUAUUAGAGGUAGACCUAUACCUAUUCUUUGGUUAUCCAGUGUUGUGCCCCCUUUUAUGUUAUCCACUCUCCAAAUAGUCCAAAAUUGGAUACGCGGAGAGUGUUAGAAUAUCCCCAAAUUGGUUGGGGGAAUGUGUUGUAGUCUUCUUAUACAUUCUUGCGUGAUACUUACCUCGUGAGAUAGGUUUUAGGGUUGAAUUAUGGCCAAAGUCCAUUUUUGUAACAAGAAUCCUUUUUGUUCUUUUAAGGGGUAAAGUCAAUAAAUAUAUCACUGAUAGGCCAUCAAGAGGAUGCACAGAGUACAAAAAGGAAAUUUGCUCUCUUAUAAAUUCAAGGAAUGGACAAUUUUUUUUUUCCAUAAAUAUGAUGUUCAUGAGUUGCCUUCUCUAUAUGGUAUGAUUUUUGGUUUUGACUUUUGAGUAUCUUACAAUUUGAAACAAUUUAGGAAGUUCCUCCUUUAUCAACUUAACAAAACAAUUUAGGACAUUCCUCCACCAACAAAGUUACUAUGGGUUGUGGAUGUUUAGAAAUGGGAAAUGGGGGAAAUGGAGUCUUUUUCGUUAAGUCCUGUUAUGGGAAGCUUUUGGUGAGAGAGGAGAUUGUUUUCCCACAUACCUCGAUAUGGAUCCCUAGAGUACCAAGUAAGGUGUGCUUCUUCACAUGGUUAGCCACGGGGGUGGGGUGAUCUUGACAACGGAGAACUUGAGGAAGAGAGAGAUCAAUUGUGUUAGUGCUUCAUGUGCAAAGGAUCAGGGGAAGAUGUAGAUCACCUACUCUUACAUUGCCGGGUAGCAUCUUCGUUAUGUGGGGAGCUGAUGAAAUGGUUUGGUUUUGAGUGGGUAAUGCCGAGAACUGUGAAAGAGACAAUGUUUAGCUGGGUUUGUAGACCUUUGCACUGAUGUGGACCAUAUGGAGAGGGAGGAAUAAGAGAGCUUUUGAUGUGAUAGAGAAAGAUUUUGUUCACUGAAAUAGCCUCUUUCCCUAAUUUCUUUUUGGUGCACCCAUGAAGUUCCUUUUAUAGAUGAUUGGGGUGGCUUUCGUAGAAAAUCAUGUAUUUUUUGUAAGAUUUUCUACUUUUUGCGUUUGGUAUACAUUUUGCAUACAAGCUAGUUAAUGCUCUUGUUAAUAAUAUUCUUACUGUUAAAUUAGGUCUUGAGCCUAACUCACACCCCAAAAGCUAACUCGAAGGGAGGAGGAUUGCCCAAGCUUUAUAAGGAGUCCACCCAUCUCAUUAACCACCAUUGUGGGACUUUUUGCUUUAACACCCCACCUCACACCCCAGUGCUUAGCAUCUGGUGCGAGGGCAAUUUUUGACCCACCUCACCCCCAAUGCUUGGCAUCUGGAGUGGGCAUUUUUUGAUAUUUUGGGCCCCAACAUCGGGUGAGAUGGACCCUGCUCUGAUACCAUGUUGAAGCGUAUGACCAUCUCAUCUAAAAGCUUAAGCUGUUAGAGAGUGCACACUUUUAUUAUUUAAUUAUAUUCUCAACACGCUCCCUCAUGUGCGGGGUUAAUUUUUUUUUUCACGGGCCAAGCACGUGGAAAUUCUUUUUGAUUUGGGUGGCGGUGAGAUUCGAUCUCAGGUCCUUUGCCUACUCUAAUACCAUAUUAAAUUAGGUCUUGAGCCUAACUCACACCCCAAAAGCUAACUCGAAGGGAGGAGGAUUGCCCAAGCUUUAUAAGGAGUCCACCCAUCUCAUUAACCACCAUUGUGGGACUUUUUGCUUUAACACUUCCUAAAUCUAAAAAAAUGUGUAUAUAUAUACACACACUCAUUAAUGUUGUCUUUCACUUAUAUUCUAUUUAGUAUGGUGAUGAUAUUAUAUGGGCUCAAAUGCACAAAUGAGGAUUUCCAAUGUGUUUGGGACUGAGGCGUGUUGUCAUUGUUGUUGAUGACUACUCUUGCAUAUGCUAAUUCUUAAUUCUUGUAAUAGAUGACUUUAAACCAAAAGGUACUUUGUUUUCCUUAAACUUCAGCUGGCAGUGGUUAUCUCACUUUCUUAUACUCGGAAAGAGCCAUAUUUAGUUGAAGCUCAAAGAAGCAAUAUGAGGACUACAUUAAAACAUGGUCUGAUUUUCUGUUAAGUGUAAUGCAAGUUCAAGUUGUAUAGAUUCAAAAGAUCUCUGUGUUCUAUACCGUAUGAGAAGUGCAAUCAAUAUCUUUCAACUCAACGACUCUAGAGAUUUGCUUAUGAUUAUCUUUAUUAUAAAUUGAAUAACUAGUUGUGUUUAUUUUUGAUUCAGUCAAGAGAAAGAUUGAUGAAAUCGUUGCGAGCAAUGAAUGCUGGUGAUGCUGCUGAUCAAGUUCUUCGGCAACUCGAUAAAAUGAUCAGAAACAAUGAGCGAGCUUCACGUGAUUCUAAAUUGAAUAAAGUAAUUCUCUCAGUAAUAGAGUUUCUUUUAUUUGUUAUUGAAGACCAAAGUGUCAGGACUUCAAGCUGUGAAAUAUAUAGUUUCAGAAGCUGUUCUCAGAACUUUCUACUUUCUUUUUCAGGAUGAGCAGUUAUCAAAUCACUUGCCCAUUUCAGGUGAUCCAACCAAGAAGAGGUCGACUCCGUUAGAUAAUGAAGAUCCAUCUAAUAACUAUGAUCUAAUUACAAAAAGGGUUCAUUAUGGCCCAAAUAAUCACAAUCACACAGCUCCAGUUGAGAGAAAUGAUUCUGGGAAAGAAUAUGUCAACGGGGUGGACCCAACGGUUGCACAAAUAAUUAACAUGAUUGGUGCUCUUCUAGCAGAAGGAGAAAGGGGUGCCAAGUCUCUUGAUAUCCUAAUAUCUGAGCUUCCUCCUGAUGUAUUGGCUGAUAUAGUCAUAACUAAUAUGAAGCACUUGCCUAAAAACAAUUCCCCUCCUUUUGCACCGGUUGGAAUCUUUUCGUUAGCUCGGACAAGUGAUUCUACUAAUCUAUCCCAAAUUAUGGCACCAAUUGAUUCCUCAUUAGGCCAACAGUCUUGCGUUCCUGGAUCCCAGACACCCAUCUCUUUAUCAACUGCCACAAGCAGUUCAUUUCCAGAAAUGCCUACUUCUGCAAGUCUCCCUUUAGAUUCAAAACGUGAUCCCAGAAGGGUGAGCAAAACUAAAUUAUUUUAUGUUUAUUCUCUUCUGUUUGUACUUUAUGUUUCUCUCACUAGUGACAGUCCAAUAAUAAACUGUUUUCUACAUCAUGAUGCUUCACAGGAUCCACGGCGCCUUGACCCAAGGCGUACAGCUGUGGCUAUUGAAGUAUCACCACCGUUUGUUGCAGAACAUAAUACAAGUGCUAUGCAAUCUGCAAUUCUGCAAUCUGACAUAAAUCCUUCCAGUUCAUCUAAUAUUGAUAUUGCAGUAUCCUUGAUGUCAAGUUCUGAAUGUAUGCCAAUGGCUUAUCUGAAGAUGGAAACUAACUCUAUCACUGGUGAAAGUUCACCAGGACCAGUAGUCAGUCUGUCAGCUCCCAAAGAGGAAGGUCAUGAGGAAGACCUGAGUGAAGCUAUUCCUGAUCGCAAGUCGGAUCCCACAACACAUGUUCCACUAUUAUCUCCUGGCAAAGUAGAACCGGAAUUGGUGCCAGAAAUUCCAUCUGAAGUUGGAGUAACUAUUGAAAUUUACUCUCCUUUGUUAGAAACAGAUCAACUUUCUCCCCCUAUUUCAACUCCUGCAACUCCUGAAGAUGCAUGUGAGGACUUGCCUGCACUUCCACCAUUCAUUGAGCUGACUUAUGAGCAGCAAAGAAAUAUGGGAACACUGGCUGUUGAACAGAUAAUUGACUCAUACAAAAAAUUAAAAGAGACGGACAGUAAGCAUACAGGAAUGGCAUUACUUUCUCGGUUGGUUGCCCAGGUGGGUCAAACUUGUUGAUUUUUAACUACUAGUUUUUGGUUUUAUCAUGGGGCUACUUUGUUAUCUUAAGUUACCAGAUGUUGGUUCAUGAACAAUUUAGAACUAAGAGAUAAUCUACCCGUUCUGUCUCGAUUGGUGUAAAUAAUAUUCUUCUUUGAGGGGCAGCAAACUAUGCUUGAAUAAAGUGGUUUGCCACUUCGCCUCCCUUGUAGACUUCCUCUCUGAGACUCUCAUUUGUGUCAUACCUCUGUUGGUAUACCACUUCAUCAUUCUAGCUCUCUCUCCUUGAAACAUUACUUGUUUCUUCCAGUAUGAUAUAAUAAUCAUGCUUUGGAAGACAUUUGAGUUGUUUCUAAGAAAUCUUUAUAACUUGGGUAGGUUGGUCCUUCCCUUUCUAGUUUGGUGUUGAAAGUCACUUUUGAAGGAGACCUACUUGUGGUCCAAUUCAUCUUUCAGAUAUUUCUAGAGUUUCAGCAACUCUUAGUGACUUUUCUCGCACGCCAAGUCAGAGAUGACAAACAAAUUAUACUAAUUCUAGUGUUGUCCUUGUAGAAUUAUGAUUAUAUAUUGAUGUAGAUAACAGACACACAGUCAGACUUAUCCCACCAAAAAUAUCUGUCAUUGUGAAAAGUAAUUUAGGUAGAGAUGCGACUUAGAUCUAUUUAUGAAGUCAAAGUUAAUACAAAUUUUUGGUUCAGUGUAGGAAUUAAGCUGAUGCAUGGUUUGAGUAGUGUUGGGAUAUUAACUUGACCAAUGCAGAAAUUUGAGAAAUACUUCCUUUGCCUCUUGACGGAAUAAGUCUCUUAUGUAAUUCUCUGGAUGACCUUCCUAAAGUCAAGUUUGAAUUGACCAUGACUGCCUGAGUUGCUUCAUGUAGCUGCUAAUAGGUUCUGCAGUCAUGCCAAAUUUCCUUCUGGGAUGAUCUGCAAUCAUUGAGUUUUUGGAGUAACAUCUUGACAGUAAUGGAUGCAGAUUAGUCCAAAAGAGAAAGAUGUUAUUCUCUUUCGGAUAUAGUAGGUGAAGUGAGGAAUCCUAGCAAAGAAUGUUAAGACAUUAUUUAUGAUGAAAAGGAGGGAUGCUGAUGGAGGUACUAAUGAAAUAAUGAGCUUCCCUAGGACAUAAGCCAGAAAGAUAUUAGGUGAACUCAUCAUGUUGAUCAAGCAAUCUGGUAUUGCUAACCAUAUUUGUAUAACUAGAAGUGUGAAUACUGAUGUCUCCUUUGUUGAUCUUAUGUGUUUAAUUCUGUUUAUAAGCUGAUAUAUAAUGAAUAGGUCAAAUUAUUUAAGUUCCUUUGCAAGUUUUGUUUACUUUACUCGAUCUCAUAGUUUGGUUAUCUAAUUCUUCAAUUUUAUUACUACUGUUGUUUCUUUUACUUUGGCCAUCUUUACCCGACGACCUUACCCCCACCCUCCCUAGACCCCACUUGUGGGAUCAUAUGGGGUAUUUUGUUCUCAUAUUUUGGCAAAAUUAGUCCGAGCAUGUGAAUGGGAUAGUUCAGUAUUUAUUUACCUAUGGCUUUGUUUGACCCUGCAGAUUGGUGCUGAUGCUGAUGCUCAUGUAGUUCUGAUGAUCCAAAAGCAUAUUUUCUCAGGCAACCAACAUGAGAAGGUAUCUACUUUCUCUCUUACACUCAGAGUAUCUUAUGCUAGUGUCAUUGUUCAAGUUGUGUAGUCAAUCAACUAUGAUUACUUUCUCCUUUUGUGUUGGGAAGCUUGUUUUUAUUAGGUGAAGUGUUUUAGAAUUUUUAUUUCAGUUAAGUGAAGUGUAUAUUCUGCCAGUUUGUAUGGCUUAAAUGCUGCCAUCCAAAAUCUUCUUGGAGUGAGUCUCUCCAAAUCGUCAUGUUGUUGCUGCAUAUAGAAUUAAGACAAAGAUAAAGAGCUCACCAAUUUUUCAUCUUUCUAAUGAAAGUCAGUUCAUUGUAACAUCUGUGGUUGCUCAAACCUUUGAUCGCUCAAUUACUUGUUACAACCACACUAUUUGCAGUAUUUAUACACUGCAACAAAUCACAAAAGCAGACCCAGCUUUGAUCUUCCCCUGCUUCUUGUUGUCUUGAUCCCCCUUUAUUGUUCUGUUUCUUAGCUUGGGUAAUCUUCUAAAUGUUUUGUACUUGGAUAUCCAAAGGGGUGUAAUCUGAUACAGUUUAUUAACCACAACCCUUUUUAUGGCUUUUGUUCUGCUGUAUAUCUUCUACAAAUGAACUUUUAGUGGAAAUUGUGAUUGCAAGCUAACAAUGUUGAUUUGACCCUCAGGUACAUGAGCUUGCAAUGCAUGUGCUUUAUCAUUUGCAUUAUCUCAUGCUAUCGGGUUCGGCUGAAAACAUUUCAUCUGCUGCUGCUCUAUAUGAGAAAUUCCUCCUCAGUGCGGUAAAUAGAGUCAUUUAUUAUCCUUAUCUACAUCAUUCCCAAAGUUUCUUUAGUAAGUUCUUUGCUUGUAGGCAAAAUCAUUGCUGGAUUCUUUACCAGCAAACGACAAGUCAUUUAGUAGGCUCCUUGGUGAAGUUCCAUAUCUGCCUGAAUCUGUGAUGAGACUGAUAGUUGAUUUAUGCUCUGACAAUUAUCUUGGGAACGAUGGUCGUGAUGGUGACCGUGUUACUCAGGGCCUUGGUGCAGUUUGGAGUUUAAUUUUGGGGCGCCCUCCUAAUCGUCAAGCAUGCAUGGAUAUAGCUUUGAAGGUAUAUGACCAUCAAAUAUUCGGUGAUGAUGUUUUGCAUUCACUUUACGUAAUUGCAGGUAUUAGUUGCCUAAGGAGUGCUAAAGCAACACUUUUAGGAGUUGAUAGAGUUUUGGAAGAAAGAAUUAAUAAGCAGACAGUUUAAUUGAAGCAAAAGAACUACUUCAAAGUUACUUUGUUUAACGUGUUUGUGACCUUGAGUAAACUCUUGUAACUGGAGAAGUUCUGGAUCCAGUAUAAGUAUUGGAUUCUCUUUGUAUUUGAAGGAUUCAAACAAAAUUUUCAUUUCCGUGUGUAACCAGUUGUCAAACUUACCAACGCAAAUCAAUAGAUUUCUUUUAAUCAGUAGGGUCUCUGUAAUAUUUUUUUUUGGACACCAAGGUGUGUUUGAUCAUGAUGGUGGAGCAGCACAAAAAUAAGUAAUCACUAGCUAUAGAGAGAUGAUAAUGAUAUCAAGGGUUCGACUCCUAAAUGUGUUACAAGGAGAUGAUUGGGGCACAAAUGUAGGUGGAGAUAGGGUGGCUUUGCUACCACAGCUAGCCAGUAGGUUGGGUUGCCAAUGGAGGAUUAUUAGUGUCAUGAGAUGGCUGCAAUUUUCAUUUUGUUAUAAUGUUGUGCCGUAUAUAGUAUUUGGUUUAAUUAAUAUUAAUGUCUGUCUGUCGUAUAUCAUUUUGUAAAAUGUGGCUUUGUUUUUAUUUUGGAAGGUUAUUUGUCAAACUUUUCCUUGCAUUGAGUUUUUUGGUGGUGUUUCUACUUUUCAUGAAAAUGGAAUGAUCUUCUUCAGGAUUAAUAAUAAACCCUGUAGUAUUGAUUGGGCUUUUAGUAUCUAUUCUUGUAGGUUUUUUUUUUUUGUGUGUGUGGUGGUGGUGAGGCCUGUGUAUGGAGGGAAUUAGGAGGAUGAAGAGCUAAGGCCCUCAUGAGAUUUGACUUGCAGGGUGGAGUUGCAACUUUAAUCUCGGGUUUUAGUAUCUAUUUUGAUGUUUAUUUCUUUAGUGAUUGAGUGACAUUUUAUUGUAAUUGUUUUUUUUGUUUUUUCUGGAAAGCAUUUUCUUAUACUCAAUUUUGUACUGGACAAGAAAAGGAUCCCUGUGGCAGACACGUGUUCAAAAUUGUUUAUCUGUUGAGUUCCAUUAUACCAAAUAUACACAACUCUUGGACUGUCCUACAAUUCUGCAAAGCAAAAAACAAAAGUAAUGCUUGCCUUUGGCAGAAUGAAAUUAUAGUGCACUCAUUAAAGUUCAUGCUUUCAUGCAGUGUGCUAUUCACCCUCAGGACGAGGUCCGAGCAAAAGCUAUUCGCCUGGUAUGCAACUUGUGACUGUUUUGUGUUGCCGGCUGUGGGUUUUCACCUGCUGGUGACCAUUCUUUACGAUUCUUAUCUACGGAUUAUUAUAUCUGAAUCGCUAAAAUGUUGUAACUCUUGAUAGGUGUCAAACAAACUUUACGUGGUUGGUGACAUUUCAGAUAAUAUCGAGCAGUAUGCUAAGAAUAUGUUCUUGUCAGCUGUAGACCAGCAUGUCACAGAUGCAGAAUAUUCCCAGUCUGGAACUUUGGUUCAGAGAACAGGAGAGGUAUGUUCUUAUUUUUGCGUUUGCCAAUAAAUUCUCUCUGAUUUUGGCUUUGUCGGAUGUCUGUGCGAGUAUAUUUAUAACAAAAUAGGGUUUAUGAUCUUGGUUCCUCUUUUCUUUUUGUUCUGUCUGCAUUUGUUCCUUUAGUAUUUGGUCUUGAAGUUGUUGUUUGAGGACUGAUUGAUUUUAGAGGGUUCUGGUGGUUCCUUUAUGGAAAUUGUUUGUGGGUGGAGCCUCGUGUUCAUGUUUGAGUCUCUACUUUGGUUAUUUCAUGUCAGCUUGACCAGAUUGCAGUGACUUGGAACUUUUUUUUUAAUAAAUAAUAUUUAAAUAUGAGUUGGGAUGUGAUUCCCGUAAACAAAUUUGAUAAUUAAAUAGAUGUACUAGAAGAAGAGAAUUUUUGCAUUGUAGGAAUAUGUAAAGCUUGUCUGCUAGUUUGUGGUAAAAAAAUGAAGUUUCACUAGCGAAAUAUGAAAUAAGACGUGCAAUUUUGAAAAAGUGAAUAUUAUUUUUCAUGUUUCACCUUUAUCCUUGCACAACUAAGAUAUUUUCUUUUAUAGGUAAAAUACAAAUCAAAUCAUGUAGUUUUAACUGAGAAUCACUGGCUUUUGAGACAACUUAUAGCGUGUUUGGCCAAAUCAAAGUACUUCAUGUGAGAAUUUUCAAAGGAAGAUCAAACUCGAUUCAAAAGAUCAAAGGGAAAUGCAUUUCUACUUUAUGUUUUUGGUGUAAAGAGCAAUGUAUAGUAAAUGAAAUACAGAUAGUGGAUUUCCUAGGCUUAUUGUAAUUAGCUAUCUAUGUAAGCACACUUUUGGAGGUGGCCAGCGUACCCUUAAUACUGAAGAAUACAUGUUACCAAUGUUUUUUUUUUUUUUAAAAAAACUUCAUGUGAGAAGAAAUUUGUGUUUGGCCAAAAAUUUUUAAAAGCACUUUUGAACUGGUAUUAGUGUUUGGCCAAGCAUUUUCAAAGUGCUUAUAAGUGUAUUUUUCUCAAAAGUGCUUUUGGAGAAAAGCUACCUAAAUAGCUUCUAAAAAACAGUUUCAGCUACUCCCUAGAGCACUUAUUUUCUCCCAAAAACUUGGCCAAACACCUUACUUUUUAAAAAUAAGCACUUUUGGCCUCCCAAAAGCUUGGCCAAACAGGCUAUUAGUUUGCAAGUCUACUAAAUUCUGUGAUUCUAUUUCAAAAAAUUAUAUUCAAAGUAUUUAGACUAGUUAUUUUACCUGGAAGUAGCAGUAGUUGCUAAGGACUUAAAAACAUUAGAACUUCUUGUUUUCACUAUGAGGAGGAAUGUAUAUUCUAAAUUUUUUUCUGUUAAAAUGCAUGUUGUUCAAUAGUUAAUUCUUUUUCGGUACAAAGGAAAAGGUUUUCUUGAAAAAUUAGUGGUUUUCUUACUUAUUUUCUUGUGUUCGGUACGUAAGCAAAAAAUAUUACUUUUAAAAGCAUUUGUAUAUAAUCUAGGCAAAUAUUGUGGGUGUGGGGGUGGGGGUGGGAGUGAAGAUGAGGUGUGUUGGAGGGUGGAGGACUCUAUCAAUAUGGAAUUCCACUUGUGGAACUUGUUUUCCUUACUUCCAUUAGGGAAGUCAUUUUCCUCAUUGUUAAGGAACUCGUUUUCCUAGAGAAUAUGCUUUCUAAAAAUUUUGACCAACCGAACAUUAGAAAAUUGGAAAGCAUUUCCUCCAUACCGAAUACACCAUAACAAUUGCUCAAAAUGGUGUUGGGAAAGCAAUCUUCUUGUUCUUGUUUGAUUCAAGAACCCCAAAAUAUAUCCGUGGGCACAUCUGAGCUAAUAUUUUUAUUCAUUGAUGGGACAAAAAUUACGACCUGCUUAAAGGCUUUGUUGUUGAUAAUAAUCUUCUAUAGUGGAACUUGUUAUACAUGACUCUGUCCAGAGUCAAUUUUCAAAUCUUGGAUGUUUUAGAUGUGUAUCAAAUUCCUGAAAUGAUAAAUUAGCUUUUAUGUUGCUGCAUGACUUAGUAACUAGGUCAGUGAAGUCCAAUAUAUGGAUUGAAGAAAGAGGAUUUUCUAUUUAUGGACUCCAAUAAGUUGAGGAGCACUUGCCUUCUGAAAUUGUUUGCUUAAACUAUCCUUGCUGUACCGUUUCUCCUUCUAUGUUGAUAAAUUCCUCUUAACCUAAAAAAAUAUAAUUUUCCUUGAAUUUGAUUAUUAUCCUAAGAAAAGAAUAUGAUUAUCAGACAGGAAAUCAGGAAGCCUCAGUUAGUGGUUCUCAGAUUUCAGGGCCAGGAUUCUUUGAAAAUGAUUUUGUUAAGACUGCAGCAUCUGAUUCUCAAAGUGAUUCAGAGUUGUCUUUAGCUCAAGCUCAGCGGCUUAUCUCAUUAUUUUUUGCUCUAUGCACUAAGGUUUGGACAAGUUUAUAAGUGCAAGGAUAUAUGUUGAAUGUGCACUUACGAUGAUGCUGACCGGGUAGCUUUUCCUGCAGAAAUUCAGUCUUCUCCACCUUGUAUUUGAUACCUAUGCACGUGCUCCUAAGGCAGUUAAGCAGGUCUGUUUUUUUAUUGUGCUCCUGUCUUACAAUCCUAAUAGCCGACUUAAUAAUGGUUUGUUUGAGAUGAAUUAAUCAUUCACCCCGAUAGAACCAUGAAUAGGCCAGCAAUAAUUUGACUGUCAUUUUAUCAAAAUAAUCUGGAUUAGUUAGGCCUCAGAAACCUAAAAAAAGAAGUAAAACUAGCAUUUUGAUGAUCUACUCCCAAUUUGAUUUUUCCAAGAUGAGCUUUAAUGAGGAUCUACAUUGGUCUUCUGGAGCACUAUUAACAAUCUCUAUUAACUUGUACUGAACUUCUUGUAUUGCUCUUGUUGUUGUACUCAUUUCAGUUGGUUGACAUUCCUUCUAUUAACUUUUGAUCUGGUACAGGCUGUUCACCGUCAUAUGCCUGUUCUUAUUAGGGCUAUAGGCUCUUCAUGUUCUGAACUGCUUCAUAUAAUAUCUGAUCCACCUCAAGGCUGUGAAAAUCUUUUGACACAGGUAGGUUACUACACCUCGCAUUUUAAUUAUUGCUUUUCAUCUUGAACUCUCUUCCUUAUCAUGAUGCCAUUGUUUUGUUCACUGCAAGGUGCUUCAUAUUCUCUCCGAAGGGACAACUCCUCCGCCUGACUUAGUUGCAGUUGUCAAGCGGUUAUAUGAAACUAAACUGAAGGUUUAGCAUCUUUCUUUUUGUUUUCUUGAUAGCUCUCUCAAUCAGAAACUUCGCAGUUCCACCAGUGAUACCCUAAAUUGUUUUGUAGGAUGCAACUAUUCUUAUUCCAGUGCUCUCUUCAUAUUCUAAGAGUGAGGUAUUCUUCAGAUUAUUGUGCAUUUUUAUUCUACACGCAUUUUCAGUUUUCUUUUCUGUGACUAAUAAUGAUAUGUGAUAUCUCCCUCACUAACCCUGAAUGACAUAUCUGUUCCUUUUGUUCUCUGUUUGUUAUCCUUUUAACUUAACUAUAAUAUAUCACACUAUGUCCAUUUUAAUUUGCUGGCUCAAAGGGAGUUCCUGUUAUGUCCAGGGUUUUCCUGAUAAAGAUUGUGUCUGGUUAACUUGGCACACUUUUGGGCUUUUGUUCAGGUCUUGGUUAUGAAUUAUCCUUUCUUAAAUAAAUAUUCCUAGUUUUGUGAGCAAAUCUAUAUUUUUUCUUAAAAAACUAUCUUCAAUUUAACUAUAUAAAACGUACUAGUCCGUUUCAAUUUGUUUGUCUUACUUUACUUUUCAAUCCGUUUUAAAGAGAAUGCCUCCGUCCUUUCUUGACAACUCUUGAAUUCAACUUUCUUGAGAAUAUCUUUAGUUUAAAAGCUCACAAGAUUCAGAAGUUCUCUUACUUAAACUCCUUGCCAAGUCCAAACCAGACAAACAAAUUGAAACGGAGGGAGUAGUUAGCAGAGGUCUCUGGUGUUUCCUUGCGUAAAAGGACUACUUUUGCAUUAGCUCUCUCUCGUUGGGCAAUUACUAAGGUGAAAGCCGCUCUCUCGGAAGUCAGUUCCCUCGCCAUAUAGUGGGGCUAGUCCAAAAAACUCGCUUGAACUGCCAAGACUUGUUUUUUUUUUGGUGGGAAGGCCCUUCUAGAAUUACGUUUAACGUCCCUUUAUAACUUCCCUGAUUUGUGGCUCGGGUUGAUUCCAAACUGCACUCAAAGGUAGGACAUUUCCCCCAGGGACAAUCACAUCUCCAAUUAUAUAGAAUUUCACUUCUUUAUUCCAUAUUUCUUUUCUUACUGAUUGAAUUCAGUUAGAUAGAGGAAUAUUCGAUCAAAUCCUUAGUCCGAUAGGUGGAUAGUAUACAUUCAAUACGGACAAUACAUUGAGAUGAAAGACGGAAGAAUUGAAAUCUUAUGUCAAAAAACUAUGUGCAGAUGGUAUGAACUUGCCUAAACAAGAAUUCUUUUUUUUUUUUUUUUUUUUGAUGAAGUAAAGGAUUUCAUUAAAGAGCAUCAGGGUCAUCCUAAACAAGAAUUCUUUUUUUUUUUUUUUUUUGAUGAAGUAAAAGAUUUCAUUAAAGAGCAUCAGGGUCAUCCUAAACAAGAAUUCUUUUUUUUUUUUUUUUUUUGAUGAAGUAAAGGAUUUCAUUAAAGAGCAUCAGGGUCAUCCUAAACAAGAAUUCUUGAACAACACAAAUCAUCUUUUUCUUUAUUGAAUGAUUGGCUCAAUAGCUUUCCUCCUGAUGUGAUAGUGAAAUACUUGAUAUCUUUUCCUUUCAACUACUGCACUUUAUUCGGAAAGACUAACUUUUUAUGAGUCUUUUUGUUUUUGUAUUAGGUUCUACCUAUUUUCCCAAGUCUUGUUGCUCUCCCACUGGAUAAGUUUCAGCUUGCCCUGGCUCGGAUAUUACAGGUUUGAUUGGAUUUUACAUUCAAUAGAUGUUUUACCUCUCCGUAAUUUUUAGGUACCUUCUGAUUUCUGUGAUAAUGACUGUUAUGUUCAUUCCAUUUAACCAUGUUAGUCUUCUCAUCUUCAUUGCCGUGUUCAACUCUUUCUUCUGAAUAUCAUGCUCAUUCAAAUUAUAUUAUGUUUUGAGUUUUUCUUUAUUUUUCUUAGGUCAGUGAUUUUGUGGUUCUUUAAUCAAAGUCCACUAGUAACUUUAUUGUUUAAUAAUCAGUUGACAAAAAUUCAUCACCUGAUGCCCCACUGCUAGUAAAGAAUUCCAUAUUACUUGCUGUAAUCUGAUAAGCAUUGUACAUUUGUUUUGGAUAUAGACAAAAGAUAAAAGGUCCUUUACUUGAUUCAUGGCAGGGUUCCGCCCAUACUGGUCCAGCACUGACCCCAGCAGAAGUGCUGGUCGCAAUACAUGAUAUAAAUCCCGACAGGGAUGGCCUUCCGCUAAAAAAGGUAUGCGAUCUUCCACUUCCACUAGUCGUUGGCUUGAUGGUUGUUGCAUGUGAACUUAUUUCAGCAUGCAGAAAAUUCAUUGUUAUCUUGCCCUCAGGUUCUUUGCCAUGUAUUUCCUCAAUUGCAUGAUUCCCUUGUUUCCUGUUGAAUUCUGUUUCUUCUCCCUGUUCCUUACUACAGAUUCAGGACAUAGUGAAAAUGCCUUGGCAGAAUUACAUACCGAUUUGGUGACACUUUAAUGCUAUUAUCUUUCAGAUAACAGAUGCUUGCUCAGCUUGUUUCGAGCAGCGGACUGUUUUCACGCAACAGGUCCUGGCGAAAGCCUUGAGACAGAUGGUAUGGAACAAAUGCAUAUAGUAGAUAGAGAUGGUAUGGAUAAUUUUCUGAUCUCUGCUAUCCUCAUUUAAUCAGGUUGAUCAGACUCCUCUCCCGCUGCUCUUCAUGAGGACAGUGAUUCAGGCCAUUGACGCUUUUCCUUCUCUGGUAAAUCACUGCUCCUGUUGUUAUAUUGUAGUAUAUUAAUCAGUUGGGUGUACGUAACUAUGUUCCAGCCUUUUUACACUGUUGAGAAUACAAUUAACUAAUAAAAGUGUGCUCUCUCUAUCAGUUGGGUGCACGUAACUAAUAAAAGUGUGCUCUCUCUAACAACUUAAGCUUUUAGAUUAGAUGGUCACACACUUCAACAUGGUAUCGGAACAAGUAGAGGUCCUGGGAUCGAAUCUCAGAGCCACCCAUAUCAAAAAGAACUUCCAUGUGCUUGGCCCAUAAAAAAAUCAGGCCCGCAUGUGAGGGAGCGUGUUGAGAACAGUGGCGGAUCUAGGAUUUUCAUUCAGGGGGUUCGAAAAAUAAUAAUAUAAACGUGUGAAUAAGCCAACAAAAUACAAUUCCAAGGAAGUACUAGUAUAUAGUUUAUAAGUACAAAAAGUUAGUUCCAUUAGCUUAGACCUUUUAGCACGUUUGGACUUCUUUGGGUUUAAAUCUACUCUUUUUAAAAAAGAAAAACAAAAAACAUCAAAGAUUGGUUCUGAAACUAAAUGAAGAGAAGGUUAAAAAAUAAAAUGACCACAAUGGGAUUCGAACCUUGGACGUGAGGGCCAAUCUAAAAGGAAAUCUACCUCGAUGAAUGCAUAGAUCCUUUAAUAUCAGUGGAAGCUCUUGAUACCACCACUGGUUUUUAAAAGACGAUGCAACCUAAAGGGCUGAAGUAUUGAUUGGAAGUCUCUCAGCAAUUUUAUUAAGCAUAAGAGGUCUUUAAAUAGUCAGCUUAAAACAAAAAACUUGCAUACUUUGAAAUUCAAAAAAACUAAAAUACCUCAACAAAUUAAUCAAAACCUGAUAGAAAUUUAAAGUUCAAAUUAUUCUAAAACUACCAAUUUAUUAUGCUAAAAAUUAUUGUAGUAACUAAAACAAAUUUCAACAAUUAGAAUAUGUGAGUUUAUGGGUGUGACUUAACGUCUCAGGCUUCAUCUUUUUUAUGUUUGUUCAAUGUGGAACAACAACAUGGACAACACUGUACUAGCUAUCUAACACCCACCCCUCAAGCAUAUACAUCGGAUGUGUCGAGCAUGGUACAUAUGCAGGUAGUUGAGGACUUGUGAUAAAUUUGGUUAAUAGGUAUACAAGUUGACCAUUGAACUUUACAGAUCAUGUUACAAUAUUUUCGGAGAAUAUUUUCUCUGACAAAGUGAUCGUGAAUCUCUGUGUUCGGUCUUCUCUCGGAACACUGGAAUUGAAGCAAUAUGCUGCGUAGUUUGAUUAUUACAAACAAGUUCCAUCAGAGUGAUUCUUCAAAUUUCAAUUCUUUCCAGUCAUUUGAUCCAGAUGAGUUCACAUGUAGCAACUACCAUGAUUCGAUAUUCAGCUUCUACAUAGGUCUUGCACCACAAUUGGUUCUUAUUCAUUCAGGAGAUCAAUUGCCUCCAAUGUAAGGAUGGCAAAAGGGGCGGGGCAGGACGGGGCAGUUGCGGGGUAAACCCGCAUAAACCCGUGAACACUCCAACCCUCCCCUCCCCACCCUGCCCCUCCCCACACGACAAAAUAUAUAUUUUCAACCCACCCCGCCCUGUAUAAAUCCACCCCACAUAAUUAUUUUUCAUCAUCACGAUGUAGUAUUACAUUGCGAUUUUUUUCUCUUUUUUAUUUAGUCAUUUAUCUUUCGUUUUUGCUUGUCAAAUUCUCUGAUCAGUUUACUGCUUUAACAUUUAUCAUAAGUAUAUUUAUAUGACUUCUAUAAGUCAAAGGGUACUUAUAUUAUGAACCUAGAAAAACAUUCAUUCCUCUUCUCUGUAACAGCUUAACAGGAAGAAACAAGGAACUAAAAAAUAUCAAGUAUUUUGAAUUUUUCUUCUUGUCUUUUAUAAAGAAUAACAAUUGGGAAGAGAGGAACCCCUCCCGCCCCACUCCACCCCGUAUAAUGCAAAACCCGCCCCGCCCCAUUGCCAUCCCUACACCAAUGAGAACACAAUGUCCAGAGAUAGAGUGUCUAUCAGGAGAUUACCAUGCUAAAUUAGCAUCUGAAUACCUGACAAUCCUGUCCUUGAUACUCAUACAAUAACCCUUUACUUAGUGAAUCUUAUAUACUGAAAGAUACAUGCUAUUGCAUCCCAAUGAGCUUCACAUGGAGAACCUAGAAACUGAGUGACAAAACUCAUUGAAAAGGUGAUAUCAGGUAAGCUACAGUGAGAUAAUAUAACUUACCUACUAAUCUCCUGUAUCUCCCAGGGUCACUGAGCAGCUCCUUUAAAUCAGGUAGAAGUUUGAGACUUGUUUCUAUAGGGGUAGCAAUGGAUCUACAAUUUGUCAUCAUCACGUCAAGUAUUUUGCAUGCCUUGAACUACUUUAAUACAUUGGAAAUAUAGUGAUUUGCCUUGAAUCCUUAGUAUAAAAUGCUGAAAGAGAUCAUUUCAAGCUAUCAAUGCCCUCUUGGUUAGUGCCGACAAUAACUAAAAUCAAUGUAUACUACCAAAUAAAUACAAAGAUAUAAAGUUGAGUAUUGAUGUGCAGAGGGAUCAGCUUCGCUAAUGAAUGAUCCCCAUUUAUUCUAUUUCUGCACUUUUUCUAAACCAUACUCAAGGAGAAUGUUUUAAAUCAUUUAGAGCUGUGCAACUGUAAUAAAGUUUACGAGAUUCCCCGAGCAUCAAAACCCAACAAUUUCUCUAACUCUUCCUCAAGAUCAACAUGAAGAAAAACAUUCUUGGGAAAUUCUCAUGUCCAUUUCUUGAUGGGUGAAGAUAUUAUCUAUUAGAUUAAAUUCUCCGGCUUAUACCCUAUGGACAGGAGAAACCACUAAUCAUGAGAAUGCUUCCUGGUAGGAGAACAGUAAAGGCAGAAAGGGUGAGAGGAGCUUCUCAUCUGGCAGCAGAAAUAUCAACAUUUAUGGCACUCGAUCUGCUUUUUGUUUAGUGAUGAAGAUUAUGUUGCCACCUUAAAAGAAACUGAAUAAUAUGCGUAACUUCUCUUUUGUGUGCCUUAUAUUCCUUUUUGCUUCUUGGAAAUGUUUUGCUUUCUUCACAAGUGCAUGUUCAAAUUGGCUACUUCUCUUCUCUAUUUUCUCCUGUUCAAUAUACAUAUAAACACAUAUAAAGUUGACACAUCUUAGCAUCUUGAUUUAUUUUUGGAUAAAGUUAUUCUUCCAUGUCUCUUAGUUUGCAUUCCUUUGGCCUACCAUAUUAAGCACAAAGGGGAAAUGUUGAAGACAUAAGCGAAUAAAAACUGCUUCUUGAAUAACUCAAGCUCAUUUUUGGACCUUGGAAACAAAUCUGGAAAUCCAACACCCCAACCAAGAUAAAGUGUUUCACAUGGUCAGUGUGCAGAAGAGCAUGUCUGACUCAGGAGAGACUGAAAAAAAGAGGAUUUCAGAUUGUUUCUAGGUGCUUCUUUUGCCAUGAGAAGGAGGAAACAAACAAUCAUUUGUUCCUUCACUGUAGAGUGACUUCCCAGAUAUGGUAUAUGUUUCAAAGCAUUAUUCACGAUCCUUGGGUGGUGCCUGGGCAUACUGCUGACCUACUAAACUGUUGGAUGAGAAGAGGGGGGAGUAAAACACAGAAAAAAUGGUGGAAUCUAGUUCCAUCUUGCAUAUGGUGGUCAAUUUGGAAGGAAAGUAGGUGCUUUAAGAAUAUUACUAACCCAAUGCAGAAAGUGAAAGAAAACUGCAUUAAUACUCUAUAUUUUUGGUGUAAAGUAGAGGGUAUAUAUGAAGUAGAUCAGUUAGUAGAUUUCCUAGGCUCUUUGUAAUCAUGACUGCUUUGCCUUGGAAUUUUUUGUUGGUUGCCAGCAUACCCUCAUUGCUGAUGAAUACAACUUUACCAUUCUCAAAAAAUAAAUAAAAAAUAACUCAAGCUCUUAGACUAGAUGGUCACACAGGUAAACACCGUAUAUUGGUCUUGGAUUUUGAAAACUAUAUAAUCCAAGAUAUGUAAUCCGUCUUGUCUCUUUCCUUCUUUCCAUUUGAUUGUUGGAGGAUUGGAUUCCUGGAUGUUUAUGAACUAGCUCUGAUACAGUACUGCUGGAGCAUUUCAUCUACAUGUUGAUGCAGCUGGGCAGAACUAGAAUUUUAAAGUCAACAACAGUAUGAGUAUUGUGCUCAUCUAUUAGCAUGGACAUUGCUUGGACAGAGCUUCUUACUGAGCAUAUAUUUGUUUGAUGUGGAAGGAAUGUAGUCAAUGUGUGUGACACUAUCUUUUUUUUUUUUAUGUUUAGGUUGAUUUUGUGAUGGAGAUACUCUCCAAACUUGUGGUUAGACAGGUAUUUAAGCUUAGAUUUCCCCCUAAUCACGGACUAUCAUUAUUGCUCUACAAAUGAAUUGUCAUCCUAUCGCAUAUUGGAUGCAGGUAUGGAGGAUGCCAAAAUUGUGGGUGGGAUUCCUAAAAUGUGUCUCACAAACGCAACCACAUUCCUUUCCUGUACUACUACAGGUAUUGUUUGGUAAUUUAUAAUUUUUACUAUAUAUUGUGCAUGGAGGCAACUUUAUCCAUAUUUUGUCUUAAAAUGUGUUUGAUCUUGUUUGCAGUUGCCACCACCGCAGCUUGAGAGUGCUCUAAACAAAUAUGUUAAUCUCCGAAGUCCAUUGGUUACCUUUGCUAAUCAGCCAAAUAUUAAAACUUCACUCCCUAGGUAUAUUUUGUAUCUGAUCAACCGUUUAGUAAUGUCCCAUCUUUUUCUGCAUUAUGUCAACUGGAUUUAUCUUAAGUUCUUCAUGGCACAUGCUGCAUCUAUUUUUUGAGACAUUAUUCUAUAUUUUAUGUUAAAUAUACCAAUGUAGAAAAUCAGAUUGCGUCUUUAUGUGAACCUAAAAUAAGAGCUAAUUGCAUAAGUUGUCACCGAUCUGUCACACCCACGGUCUAUUAUGCUCAAAAAGUUUCUUCAUGAUUUACUUAUCCAAAAAAAAAAGACCUUCCUCAUGCUUAUUACAAAUUAACUAGUCUUUGUGGUCACUGGAGCUGUUUGGCAUUGAUGCAGAUCAACCUUGGUACAACUUGGUCUUUUUAAUGAACCGAGUUUGCAGCAAUCACAUCUCUCAUCUACUGUGCAUGCCUCAGAGACAGGUGCUUCUGUUCAUGGAGCAACUCUAACAUGAUAGUGCACUUUCUUAAAGGAAUGAAGCAGUGUAGUAAUACACGGUGUAGGCACCAGGGCUACUGCAGCUCCUUAUUGCAACAAUGUGCUAUGAUUCUCCAGAGUCGGUAAAUUGUGGCUAGUUUCUGCGCCCCUUAGAAGUUGGGCUCAAUCUGCUGGUAACAAGAUGGCUCAUGGGAUGGCAGUGCCCAAAAGUUUUGAGGAGAAAUCUCCCUUUGGAGAAUGUAUCAUAAGACGUCAAUUUCCCUCACGGUUUCUUACCAGCUAUAUGUUUGUCAUUCAUUAUAUUUGUUUAAUUUGUCUGCCUACAGGCAUCAGUUGAGGUGUCUAGGCAACCAAUUGGUGCUGUGGGGAGUAGCAUAGCUGGUAGGUCAGGUUAUUUAAAACCUUUUGUAUGAGAGGGAGGCGAGCUGGAAGUGUGUAAUUGUACUAUAGUUUUAUAGCCCCACCCCACUUCCCCCUACCCCUCCCACCACUUACCUCACAUGUGGUCAGAGUAAAUGGGUUCAAUUAGGGAUUACAGAGUAAAGGAAAAAAAAAAGAAAUUGCACUUUCUAGUUUCUUCCAAGAAGCUCUCAGAAGAAAACUUAUUAAAAAGAAAAAGAGAGUUUAUUUGUGAAUGGAUGGUAGAUUUGGAGCCUUAAUUAAUGGUAAAUUGGCCAAUGGUCUAGUGAUUUGGACUGUACACUUUAUUCCAUGGGUGGUUAUACUAGUGUCUGAAAUGUUACUGAAAAGUAGCAAGUUUUUACCCUUUAGUCGCUGAGACCUUUUUACCCUUAUUUGCAUCAUCUUCAAUGCUUUUCUCGAGUUGGCCACUAUUUUAGAGUUUUACUUGUAGGAAUUGAAACUCUAGGGAAGUUCUUGGAGUUCAAUUACUGCUACAUGGUGUCUUGGGUAGUAGCGACUUUUAGUUGAUUAAGUUUCUCAAUUUGAUUAUCUUAGUGGAUUUUCCAAGACCAAUGGCAUGAAACAUGAGACAUCAAUUUAAGUGCAAUGGUCCAGCU